rnacentral:rRNA from 1 species
CGGCUGCAUGAAGCUGGAAUCGCUAGUAAUCGCGAAUCAGAAUGUCGCGGUGAAUACGUUCCCGGGUCUUGUACACACCGCCCGUCACACCAUGAGAGUCGGGAACACCCGAAGUCCGUAGCCUGACCGCAAGGGGGCGCGGCCGAAGGUGGGUUCGAUAAUUGGGGUGAAGUCGUAACAAGGUACC